UACAGAGGUUUCAAGCGUUGUUCGGAUUCAUUGGGCGUAAAGGGUGCGUAGGUGGUGCUGUAAGUCAGGUGUGAAAUCUCGGGGCUCAACCCCGAAACUGCACUUGAUACUGCAGUGCUCGAGGACUGGAGAGGAGAUUGGAAUUCAUGGUGUAGCAGUGAAAUGCGUAGAUAUCAUGAGGAAGACCAGUGGCGAAGGCGGAUCUCUGGACAGUUCCUGACACUGAGGCACGAAGGCCAGGGGAGCAAACGGG
rnacentral:rRNA from 1 species